rnacentral:pre_miRNA from 1 species
AACAAGUAUAUUUUUCAUUGUUUAUGUUCAAUACUUGAUCGUUUGUCUUAUCUAAAAAAUUAUGAUUAGCAUUUUUAUUAUUAUUAGAUGAUGAAAUGUGUAUAAUACUUUAUAUGUGACUUUUUUUUAUUUUUUUAUAAAAUUUUUAAAUAAGAUGAACGGUCAAACGUUGGACAUAAAAAUCUAUAAAUGCAGUUAUA